UUAAUAGAAGCCAAAAAAGAGGCCUUUCACUGUUAAUGAAAAAAUUGACUUUCUCCUAUUAAA
rnacentral:tRNA from 1 species